CCUGUGUUCUCAGCCCACUGCCAGGGGAGGGUGUUCCCUCAGGCCUCCACAGAGCUUGAGGUGCCAAGGGCACCUUCUUUGUAUCAGACCAAGUUUUCACUGUUUUUUUUCUCCUUGUUAAAAAUGUUAGUGCUUUUUAUAUUUAAUUUUUUUAGCUGAUUUUUCUUUCCCAUUUGAGGUCUCUUGAUAACUGCCUGAUUACUAUUUCACGUGGCAGAUAGCUAUCUUCAUUUUCAGACAAUCUCAGCAGAUUUUAAGCAAACACCCUCUCAGUACUGGAUGUUUUGUUCACACAUAUUGCUCAUGUAUUUCUAUCAUAGCAGCUGAUGUCCAGGAUUUUUUGCCACCUUGUACUCUGUGUAGCUUUCCCCCAUUGUUUGGAGCUGUAUCUUGGGGUACAAGGUACGUUGAUAAAGGAAGAGACAAAUACCACAGAAAAAGUGUUCCUGUUUGGAGCCUUAUUUUGAAGCAGUGAACAGUGUUGCUUUAUUCCAGUUCUAGGUCUAUUGAUUGCUUUAAUUUGAUACAGAACUUUCAUUUGUUUCAGAAUUCUUCAUGUUAUUUCCUAAUGUCAGUUGCUUUCACUUCUGUAAUUAAAAAUGUAAUUUCCGUCAAGUACCACUUCAGAUUUGGUGAUUGUAUUCCCAGUCAAUUUCUUUUCUGACUCAAAAGCAGGCUGCCCAAUCUUAGAGUAAUAUUGCAGUUCUGAGGCAGCAGCUAUAGUAAGUUUUACUUGGUAAACUAAUGCUGAACUUCAUAGGUAGCUAAGUUCAAAAUAUAAGCCAGUCAGAACUCAGUAUCCACUUAACAGAGAUUUGCAUAGUAUCUUGUCCAGGCCUGACUUUUUGUCUGUGAUUUUUUUCUUACCUAUAAUUGUUUCUGAAAUGCUAAAAGAAUAGCUGAUCUGGAGCUACUGCCAGGAGAUUUUGUUAAUCAUAUCUCAAACAAAGCAUUCCUCAGAUGAUUUUGCCUCCAGGAUUCAGCUUCGAAGGCGUUCUCAGGAGGAGCUGCGGUGCUGUCACAGCACUGUUGAGUCAACAGACGUAGAGCACUUGUUUGAUGCAUGGAUGACUGAUCUUCAAUUACCACCUUUCACAAAACAAAUGAAAACAUCUGUUCUUUUAUUUAUAUGUGAGUUUUGCAAGUAGUUGUGUACAAUUUUCUUUUGUUUAUUUUUGCUGUGUGUGUUCUUUUUCCCUCCUGACUCACUGAAUCUUCAUUGUAUGGAAAGUGAAACUUUGAGCGCUGAAUGGAUUGGGUGAUUGCAUCUUUAUUCAGGUUGGUUUACAGUGUGGUGGCUGGUUUUUUUUUUUGUACCUAAAAAAUUAUUAUCCCUUAGAAGAUAGCUAAACACGGAGUUUUAAAUUAAAUUCUAUCCCAAAGAUAUGGCAUUAAGAUAAUAGCAAGAAACUUAAGGCUCGCUUGAAAAAACACCUCACCAACGUUAAGAUAGAAGAAUAGUUUACAAGCAGUAAAAACUACAACCAAAUGAAAAAAAUCACUAGCAUAACUACAAAUUGUCAACAAGAGUGAGACUAUAAUAGUAUGAUUAUUUAUUAGCCUAUGUUUGGAGCAGACUCAGUUGUUCUGCUUUGGGAAAGAAUUCAGGCUUAUGAACACAAAGGCUUCCAAAGUGCAGGGAAGUGUUUCCCUGCAAAGAGUUAGUAAAUCUUCACAAAUAUAAAAUUACUCAGUCCCUGCAUUCUUUUCUGGCAUUUUCUGCUGGACUGCUUGGCUUUGUUAUACUGGCUCUCCUAGAUCUCUGAAUAGUCACAUAGAGACUGUGUAUAAUUUUAGAAGUCUUGAGAAUUGAAAUCAGAGCCCCUCAGCUGUAAAAAGGAUCUGAGAGUUAGAUCACAGAAUGGCUUGGGUUGGAAGGGACCUUAAAGCUCAUCUAGUUCCAACCCCCCUGCCAUGGGCAGGGGCACUUUUCACCAGAGCCCCUGAGUGCUGCAGCAGUACAAAUGGUUCUGUGCCCCUACAUUGAGUCUCUGCUUUUGAGUAUUGCUGAAUAACUCCAUUGAACUGCACUGUAAAUAUUGUUGUUUUCAAGCAGUUAACCAUCUUGAAAACACAUCAACAUGACUUAGUUAGUAUAACACUUGAUGAAUUUACAAAUGAAUCUUGGCAUAAGGCAAAUGCGUUUUAACGCUGCGGUUUGUCUGCCUGCUCCCUGCAUAUUUAUUUUCAACUUCCAGUUGAUUAGCUGCUUUGUCUUGUGUGUAGAAAUGGCCUGUUUAAUGCAGUGGGAAGUCGAGUAGAAGCCAGCAUUUGUUAAUGGAUGCUUUGAACAGGCACAGUCAGACAUUUUAAAUUAUUCUAACUAAGCAGGAAUUCUAAUUUAUUUCUAAAGAUAGAAGUACAACAACCCAAUUACCUAGUUUUCUCACAGAGUGUAAUGAGUAUAAUUAGCAUAAAAUUGGUCUAUAAAUUUAAUGGGCAAUUUCUUGUGUGGACAUUGAAAACACUAGUAAAAAUGUGGCAAGCUCUAUUAGAGUCCAUAUAGUAACUUGUUCCCAUUAGAUGCUUCCUUGACAGAAGGCAGUACUGUAAAAUAUCAAUCAAUUCUGUUCUGCACAAGGAGUUUUUAAGCUAUUGGUUCAAACAGGCAUGCCUGUAGAUUUGAAAAUUCCUUCAAUCAGAGAAUUUUUUGUGGGUUGGCAGUAGGGUUUUUUACCUUCUAAAGAUGGUAUUCUGGCUAUAAGUUCUAACUUGUAGUAUAUGUGAGAAUAUGGCCAAUUCUGUGUGUAACCUCAUAACAAUAGCUGGAUCAGUUGUUCUAAAUGUAGAAUAUACACACAGCUAACAAUAAAGAUAAUAAAAUGCUAUUUAUUUACUCUUGGAAGUGGAAGGGGUGCUGGAGUCCCACACCUGAUGCAGAGAUUCUCAAAUAAUGAUUCAGGCUGCUGCCAGCCCUUGUGCAGUUGGUUGGAUUUAACCAGCUGUGGGGCAUUUCAGAAGUUCUAGAUGAUGGAAAUCAAAGGAUGGUUUUCCCUCCCUUCUACAGCUGAUUUGUUCAUGAUGGGGAAUUCUCUAUGUAAAUGUAUUUUCAUCUAGUACAGUAAACUCAGACACAGCAAAGUUUCAGUGGCCUGCUGGGGCUAAAGUGGUGAAAAUGAAUGCUGUGAGAAAGAACACAUACUUAGAAGAAUAUGAAGUUUCUUCUGCUUUGUCUGUUGCCUAGAGAGUGAAUGAACAAAAAAUCCAACCCUGAGGCUUGAAGAUUAGGACCAAGUUCUUCAAAGUAUGUUUUCAUGAUGGAUUUUUGAUUUCACUCUAGUGCAAGCUGACAUUACUGGAAAGAGACGUAAAUGUAAAAUUCUCUAAAACAAAUUUGCUAAUGAUGAAAAUGCUUUAAUUCCUUCAGGAGUGCAUCCAUUUUAAAGGUAUUUUUAUUGCAUUAUUUUGUUAAGUACAAUGAAUAAAAUUAUAGCUGUGACUGUGAAAAUAGCAAGUUAUUUCUUGUGCUUUAGAGCAGCAACUCUCUUAGGGAUUUAUGCCCUACCACACCUUUCCCUGUCUGAUAAUUUCAUAGAGUGUACUUGCCUGCCUUCCUCUUUUGCCUUAUCACUGAGCAAAUGAAAUAGUUUGCAGGUCCUGGGCUGCUUUGGAGAGCUGGUGGGCCACUGUGUGUUCUCUGUGACUAGCAGCUGCCAAACAAGCUGGGCAGUGUGCUCAAUUUACUUGGUUGUAGGGCCAUUAAAAGAUGUAUCUUUACAUUUCUAGGAUUUAAAUCAGGGCAAUGUAAAUUAUUUUAUCAAAAUAUAUUAGCUUGUAAUUAACAAUUCUGUUCCAGGUGAAACCCUAAGAAUGUUAAUCCUAUGAGAUUACUAACUUUGAUUUAUUAAAGAAGUAGUAUUUAAAGUAGGUAUUCUAAAAAAUGGGGUUUUUUUAACUUCCUGAACUCAAUGUGAACCCCACAGCAAGAGGAGAAAAGCAUGAAGCAGUCCAUUGCUGGCCUCCCUCAAACUGAGCUGUACUCUGCUAAAAUAGAGCUUCUUAAGGAGGAGAAGUGUUCUCAGGUCUUUUGUUCUGAGAGAGUCACAGAAAAGAUAGGUCAAAGUUUUAAAUAAAUCUCUUGGGAGAGUGUAUUCAUAUCUUACCUGGUAAAUCAGUGCAUCUUUCUUCAGCUGAAGAUUGAAGAUGUGAUUCUAUAAUAAGGGUGUUUUGGCAGUAGAACUUGUAAGAAGUUAAAUAUUUUGUUGGUCUGUGUAAGAAUUUAGGUGUGUUUAACUUGGAAUGUGAGAACCACCUCACUUAAUCCAGAUUAUAGGAAUAAAGUUGUUCACAGGCAGUGCAGGAAAGGGCUGAUUUUUGUGGCUGUGCUCACAGGGGUACCUGCUCCCACACCCCAGCAGUGUUUCAGGGCUGCCCUCACCUCUGCAAGCAAAAAACAAAACAAAACAAAACAAAACUGGAUGGGACUGUGUGUAUGUAACCCCAUCUGGCUGAAGGUAUCCCUGCUCUUUGCAGGGAGGUUGGACUAGAUGGUCUUUAAAGUGCCUUUAAACCUAAACCAUUCUAUGAUUCUGCAGUCUUACUAAAGUGGAAAUUAUAAUUAUUUCUCCCAUCAAAUGCUUUGUGAUUGACAAAAUAAAACCAGAUAUAAGCACAAAGCAAACCCCUGUUUCCCAAGGAGUUUCAGAAGUUAAAAAUAGAUACAUGGAUGAGUUUGGAAGUUGGCUGCAAGGUCAGGAGAAUGAAAUCUGUGUAAUUUGGAAAGGUACAGCUCUAUUAGAGGAAUGUGUGUGAUAACCAUGAAGAACUGUCUCUUUCACUGAGAACUGGAAUAGUGAAGACAAAGGAAGGAAACGAAGGAGAGAAAGAUCACUCUUAACCUAAAUGUUUAAAUUUACACUCAAAACUAAUGAGAGACAGCUUAUUACCAGCCCAAGAUUUUAAAAGCUUGGCAGCCUUGUUCAAAAAUGCACAUCAUUUAUAUUCAGAGACACUAGACUCUCUUGAUGUGAUUCCCUUGAAGAUAAGAAGGUUGCACACAGCCUGCUGAGGUCAAGUUCCCAGCAGGCACAGAGCACAUCACUGGUGCUGGUGAACUCAAUGGAAUUGCUUUUAUGUACUUUAUGUUUGAGCACAUGGUUAUACCCUGCUUUAUUUUUUUAUUUUUUUUAAACUCUGUUCUUCUCUAUUGAGGUCACAUUGACUUUCAUUCUGCUUGUGCUUUCAAUCUUUAUUUUUUACUGAGGACAUUGUAGGCUGAACAGGAAUUCCACUUUUUCAAGUGGCAUACAGAAGAGUAAUUUUCUACUUAAUUUUCUUCUCUAUCAAGUACUUUGUGGAAUACAUCUUAGUCCAUUCAGAUACAUCUUAGUUCAUUCAGAUACAGAAUGACUGAGAUUAAAAGUUACUUCUGUUUCCAGCAGCCACUGGCAGAGGCCUGAAAAGGUUUGUGCAAGCAUCACCAUCACACCUACAAACACCUGAACUGUGGCAAACUCCCAGGGAGCCAGUGUGGCAUUCCACUCCACUCUGCAUUGAGUCAUCUCUGAGUUGGGACACUUUCCUCUUUUCCUCUCUGAGCUAGGAAUAGUUCCAGGAGCAGAAGACAGUUUUAGUCUGGAUCAACUGCUGAAUUUUUCAGCUUGUAUUUUUAUCUCCCAUAUGAUGCUGAUCCUGGAGAGGAGCCUAAGUUGAACAUUCCUGCCUUUUUUUCCUGGGUCUUC